AGAUAACAUUUUAUUGAAGUAUGUCCAGAAAAAUAUGAUUAAAUGUUACUAUUACAUUUUUUAAAGACACAUUAUUUCUUUGUUAUUCUAGAACAACCCUUAUGGUUGCUAUCAGUGUGGAAUCAAUAGGCUUGGUCACUCUUCUUCUUCAAAAUAAUGCUGAUUACACUCUCCAAGAUAUUGCUGGAUGGACAGCUCAGACGUAUGCUGAGCGGUAUGGUUAUCCUGUACAUAUUUAUCACAAACAAAUUGAAAAACAACUGGAACGUAAUAGUUCCUGUACACCCCAAAUCAGCUGUUCAGAGGAGAUUUCUGGCAUUGUGCCAUCCCUGGAAGAAAAAGCAGAAGAAAGUUCUUCGGAAGAUUCUAUAAGCAGACUCUCUGACAAAACAGGACCUGAUGAUACCUUGCCAAGCACAGAUGAUGAAAUGGAUUUUGAUACGGAGUGUUCCCAUAAAAGUCUCCUGGAAACAUCUGCCAGACGUCUAUUUGUAUCCAGAAAUCAAAACAUAAAAGAGAAAAUUUCUUUGAGAAAAAGUGAAGAUUUCAUAGAAGAAUUUGAUUUAACUGAUGCAGAUGACAUUGAUGGUAUUUUUCUUUUUUUUCCCCUUUAUUUACAAC
rnacentral:lncRNA from 1 species